UACAGAGGUCUCAAGCGUUGUUCGGAUUCAUUGGGCGUAAAGGGUGCGUAGGUGGCGCCGUAAGUCGGGUGUGAAAUUUCGGAGCUUAACUCCGAAACUGCAUUCGAUACUGCGGUGCUUGAGGACUGGAGAGGAGACUGGAAUUCAUGGUGUAGCAGUGAAAUGCGUAGAGAUCGUAAGGAAGGCCAGUGGCGAAGGCGAGUUCCUGGACAGUUACUGACGCUGAGGCACGAAGGCCAGGGGAGCAAACGGG
rnacentral:rRNA from 1 species